rnacentral:rRNA from 1 species
CUGGGGCGGUCUCCUCCUAAAGAGUAACGGAGGAGCACGAAGGUUGGCUAAUCCUGGUCGGACAUCAGGAGGUUAGUGCAAUGGCAUAAGCCAGCUUGACUGCGAGCGUGACGGCGCGAGCAGGUGCGAAAGCAGGUCAUAGUGAUCCGGUGGUUCUGAAUGGAAGGGCCAUCGCUCAACGGAUAAAAGGUACUCCGGGGAUAACAGGCUGAUACCGCCCAAGAGUUCAUAUCGACGGCGGUGUUUGGCACCUCGAUGUCGGCUCAUCACAUCCUGGGGCUGAAGUAGGUCCCAAGGGUAUGGCUGUUCGCCAUUUAAAGUGGUACGCGAGCUGGGUUUAGAACGUCGUGAGACAGUUCGGUCCCUAUCUGCCGUGGGCGCUGGAGAACUGAGGGGAGCUGCUCCUAGUACGAGAGGACCGGAGUGGACGCAUCACUGGUGUUCGGGUUGUCAUGCCAAUGGCACUGCCCGGUAGCUAAAUGCGGAAGAGAUAAGUGCUGAAAGCAUCUAAGCACGAAACUUGCCCCGAGAUGAGUUCUCCCUGAGACUUAGAGUCUCCUGAAGGAACGUUGAAGACGACGACGUUGAUAGGCCGGGUGUGUAAGCGCAGCGAUGCGUUGAGCUAACCGGUACUAAUGAACCGUGAGGCUUAACCUUACAACGCCGAAG